rnacentral:lncRNA from 10 species
AGUGAAUACUCUCUGUGGGCCUACUAUGUGCCAGGCAUUAUGCACCAGACGAAAACAUAUCUUCUUGAGAAGCCAGUGCUAAGUCACUGUUCUUGUUCAUAUUUGGAUCCCUUCCCUUUUCAGGUUGGUUCAUUAACGGAAAUAUUAACAGCAACUUAUAUGUACUUCUCCACUUGUUGCUCCAAGAGAUUUACAGCCUCUUUUUCUGUCUUCAGAUACUACUUUGAAAACAAGAUGAAAGCCAUGGAAUCUCCCGAGAAAAAUGUACAUCUUACAGACUUUCAGUGAGUUCUGGAAUACCAGGAACCAGAGCCCACACUAAUGAACAGCAGUUUCCUAACCUAAUGCGAGAGAUUUGAGAUUUCUUCUGGCUCCCAUGAUCUUCUAAUUGUCUUCUUAGCAAGACUAAACACAUCUCCAAGAAAUGUGCACUGCCAUGAAUGUCUUCCAGCUAUCUUCUAUGACAGCACUUCCCAGUGUGUUCUGUGGAAUAAUGGUACAGGGUGAUAUUCUAUGAAGAAAAAUACGGAAAGUAAUAUACUCCACAGUCCGUAUAUUAGAUCGGACUAAUAAAAAUAAAUAUGGAAAGUAAUAUAUUCCACAGUCAUAUAUUAGAUCGCCUACACAACAGCAAUUUGAUAUAGUUUAAUAGGAUUUGAAUGAAUAAAAUUAAUGCCCACAGCUACUUUCUUCUGCCGGUAAAUAUUUUUCUGCCCAUAAUCUUGCUAAACAGAAUUCAUCUGAACUUACGUUGUUGCCAACAAAUAUACGAACAAU